GACGAACUGUGCGAACGUUAUUCGGAAUCACUGGGCUUAAAGGGUGCGUAGGCGGCCGUCUAAGCAGGGUGUGAAAUCCCCCGGCUCAACCGGGGAAUGGCGCUCUGGACUGGACGGCUCGAGCGAGGCAGGGGCGCGUGGAACUUCCCGUGGAGCGGUGAAAUGUGUUGAGAUGGGAAGGAACGCCGGUGGCGAAAGCGGCGCGCUGGGCCUUGUCUGACGCUGAGGCACGAAAGCCAGGGGAGCGAACGGG
rnacentral:misc_RNA from 1 species